AUUGAACGCUGGCGGAAUGCUUUACACAUACAAGUCGAACGGCAGCACGGGUGCUUGCACCUGGUGGCGAGUGGCGAACGGGUGAGUAAUACAUCGGAACGUACCCAGUCGUGGGGGAUAACGUAGCGAAAGUUACGCUAAUACCGCAUACGUCCUGAGGGAGAAAGCGGGGGACCGUAAGGCCUCGCGCGAUUGGAGCGGCCGAUGGCGGAUUAGCUAGUUGGUGGGGUAAAGGCCUACCAAGGCGACGAUCCGUAGCGGGUCUGAGAGGACGGCCCGCCACACUGGAACUGAGACACGGUCCAGACUCCUACGGGAGGCAGCAGUGGGGAAUGUUGGACAAUGGGCGAAAGCCUGAUCCAGCCAUUCCGCGUGAGUGAAGAAGGCCUUCGGGUUGUAAAGCUCUUUCGGCAGGGAAGGAACGGCUUGGGAUAAUACCCCGGGCUAAUGACGGUACCUGAAGAAGAAGCACCGGCUAACUACGUGCCAGCCGCCGCCGUAA
rnacentral:rRNA from 1 species